rnacentral:lncRNA from 1 species
ACUCACUCCUCCUCCGCCUCCAGCGCCACCUCGUAUCUCCUCAUUCCCGACAUGUCCUGGGCUCCGAACGUCUCCUGGGGAGCGGCAUGAUUGAAUCAGGGAUUCCCUAGCCCCAGGUCCCCUUCUCCGUCAUUCUCAGGACGAGGCUGCCCAGUUCUCAGAAAAAUGUGAAAAGAGAGACUGGCCUAGCCUCCCAGCCUACAUCUUUCUCCCAUCCUGGAUGUUUCCUGCCCUUGAAUGUUGGACUCCAAGUUCUUCAGUUUUGGAACUCGGACUGUCUCUCCUUGCUCCUCAGCCUGCAGACGGCCUAUUGUGGGACCUUGUGAUCGUGUUGUUGUGGUGGUAUUACUACUACUCAGCAAGAUUCUGGUUUUACUUCUCAUCUUGGGAGUUACCAUCAAGACGUUAGGUAUGGCUGUGUGACCCACUUUGGCCAAUGAAAUGUGAACAGAAAUGGCAUAUGUCACUUGUGGACAAAAACAUUUAAGCAAGAAUUUCCCUUGCUGUCUUCCUUGACUGGAGCGACCAUGGAAGCCUGUGUUGAGAUGAAGAGGCUGCCAACAGAUCAAAACACUUGAAAACUUGAGCAGCCACAUGGACUACAACUGUGCUGGAGACUUGCCUGGACCCACAGCAGGCUUGGUAUGCAUGGGGAAUAGAAUUUUGUUGUAUUACACUCCUCAGAUUUGGAUGUCAUUUGUUAUUACAGCAUUACCUAGCCUA